rnacentral:rRNA from 1 species
CCCGCACAAGCGGUGGAGCAUGUGGUUUAAUCGACGCAACGCGAAGAACCUUACCAGGGCUUGACAUCCCCUGACCGCGUAUGAAAGUACGUUUUCACCCUCGGGUGACAGGGAGACAGGUGGUGCAUGGGUUGUCGUCAGCUCGUGUCGUGAGAUGUUGGGUUAAGUCCCGCAACGAGCGCAACCCCUACGUUUAGUUGCUAACAGGUGAAGCUGAGCACUCUAGACGAACUGCCGUUGACAAAACGGAGGAAGGUGGGAUGACGUCAAAUCAUCAUGCCCCUUAUGUUCUGGGCUACACACGUGCUACAAUGGCCGGUACAGACGGAGGCGAAGCCGCGAGGCGGAGCAAAUCCGAAAAAGCCGGUCUCAGUUCGGAUUGCAGGCUGCAAUUCGCCUGCAUGAAGUCGGAAUCGCUAGUAAUCGCAGGUCAGCUAUACUGCGUUGAAUACGUUCCCGGGGCUU